rnacentral:rRNA from 1 species
GACAGAGGGGGCAAGCGUUGCUCGGAAUUACUGGGCGUGAAGAGCGCGUAGGCGGGAUGGCAAGUCGGUCGUGAAAUCCCUCGGCUCAACUGAGGAUCGUCGAUCGAUACUGCCGUUCUUGAGGAUUGCAGAGGAGACUGGAAUUCCCGGUGUAGCGGUGAAAUGUGUAGAGAUCGGGAGGAACACCGGUGGCGAAGGCGGGUCUCUGGGCAAUUCCUGACGCUGAGGCGCGAAAGCGUGGGGAGCGAACAGG